GAUGAACGCUGGCGGCGCGCCUAACACAUGCAAGUCGAACGGUUAAAGCACCUUUUAGGUGUGUAUAAAGUGGCGAACGGCUGAGUAACACGUGGGCAACCUGCCCUCCUCUUGGGGAUAGCCUCGGGAAACCGAGGAUAAUACCCGAUACUUCAAUGUGGCCGCAUGACGACAUUGAGAAAGCUUUUGCGGAGAAGGAUGGGCCCGCGGCCUGUUAGCUUGUUGGUGGGGUAGAGGCCUACCAAGGCAAUGAUGGGUAGCUGGGUUGAGAGACCGACCAGCCAGCUUGGGACUGAGACACGGCCCAGACUCCUACGGGAGGCAGCAGGGGGGAAUCUUGCACAAUGGGCGAAAGCCUGAUGCAGCGACGCCGCGGGCGGGACGAAGGCCUUCGGGUUGGAAACCGCUUUCAGCAGGGACGAGGCGAUAAGUGACGGUACCUGCAGAAGAAGCCCCGGCUAACUACGUG
rnacentral:rRNA from 1 species